GACGAACGCUGGCGGCGUGCUUAACACAUGCAAGUCGAACGGAAAGGCCCCUUUGGGGGUACUCGAGUGGCGAACGGGUGAGUAACACGUGAGUAACCUGCCCUUGACUUCGGGAUAACUUCAGGAAACUGGGGCUAAUACCGGAUAGGAAUCCUUGCUGCAUGGUGGGGGUUGGAAAGCUUCGGCGGUUUUGGAUGGACUCGCGGCUUAUCAGCUUGUUGGUGGGGUAGUGGCUUACCAAGGCUUUGACGGGUAGCCGGCCUGAGAGGGCGACCGGCCACAUUGGGACUGAGAUACGGCCCAGACUCCUACGGGAGGCAGCAGUGGGGAAUAUUGCACAAUGGGCGGAAGCCUGAUGCAGCAACGCCGCGUGCGGGAUGACGGCCUUCGGGUUGUAAACCGCUUACAGCAGGGGCGAAGCUUGUGGUGACGGUACCUGCAGAAGAAGCACCGGCUAACUACGUG
rnacentral:rRNA from 1 species